GACGAACGCUGGCGGCGUGCUUAACACAUGCAAGUCGAACGGAAGGGCCCUGCUUUUGUGGGGUGCUCGAGUGGCGAACGGGUGAGUAACACGUGAGUAACCUGCCCUUGACUUUGGGAUAACUUCAGGAAACUGGGGCUAAUACCGGAUAGGAGCUCCUGCUGCAUGGUGGGGGUUGGAAAGUUUCGGCGGUUGGGGAUGGACCCGCGGCUUAUCAGCUUGUUGGUGGGGUAGUGGCUUACCAAGGCUUUGACGGGUAGCCGGCCUGAGAGGGUGACCGGCCACAUUGGGACUGAGAUACGGCCCAGACUCCUACGGGAGGCAGCAGUGGGGAAUAUUGCACAAUGGGCGGAAGCCUGAUGCAGCAACGCCGCGUGCGGGAUGACGGCCUUCGGGUUGUAAACCGCUUUCGCCUGUGACGAAGCGUGAGUGACGGUAAUGGGUAAAGAAGCACCGGCUAACUACGUG
rnacentral:rRNA from 1 species